GAUGAAGAACGUAGCGAAAUGCGAUACUUGGUGUGAAUUGCAGAAUCCCGUGAACCAUCGAGUCUUUGAACGCAAGUUGCGCCCGAAGCCAUUAGGCCGAGGGCACGCCUGCCUGGGUGUCACACGUCGUUGCCCCCCCAUCUACUCCUUCGGGAUUGCGGGGGGCGGAUGAUGGCCUCCCGUGCGCCUCGUCGCGCGGUUGGCAUAAAUGCCAAGUCCUCGGCGACGCACGCCACGACAAUCGGUGGUUGCGAAACCUCGGUUGCCCGUCGUGUGCGGUCGUCGCGCAUCGAGGGCUCGAAAAAAUUGCCGGGCUCCGGCUCGGCUUUCAACGCGACCCCAGGUCAGGCGGGGUUACCCGCUGAAUUUAAGCAUAUCAAUAGCGGAGGA
rnacentral:misc_RNA from 1 species